rnacentral:rRNA from 1 species
UACGAAGGGGGCUAGCGUUGCUCGGAAUCACUGGGCGUAAAGCGCACGUAGGCGGCUUUUUAAGUUAGGGGUGAAAUCCUGGAGCUCAACUCCAGAACUGCCUUUGAUACUGAGAAGCUUGAGUCCGGAAGAGGCGAGUGGAAUUCCUGGUGUAGCGGUGAAAUGCGCAGAUAUCAGGAGGAACACCGAUGGCGAAGGCAGCUCGCUGGGACGGUACUGACGCUGAGGCGCGAAAGCGUGGGGAGCAAACAGG